rnacentral:rRNA from 1 species
CCUACGUGGAGCAGCAGUGGGGAAUAUUGCGCAAUGGGCGAAAGCCUGACGCAGCGACGCCGCGUGAGGGAUGAAGGUCUUCGGAUCGUACACCUCUGUCUGCAGGGAAGAACGGUCACUGUGCUAAUCAGCAGUGCAUUGACGGUACCUGCAACGGAAGCACCGGCUAACUCCGUGCAAGCAGCCGCUGUAAUACGGAGGGUGCGAGCGUUAAUCGGAAUUAAUGGGCGUACAGCGCUCGUAGGCGGUAUGUCAAGGCACGGGUGAAAUCCCCGGGCUCAACGUGGGAACUGCCUUUGAAACUGGCAAACUGGAGUGUGUGAGAGGAUAGUGGAAUUCCAGGUGUAGGAGUGAAAUCCGUAGAUAUCUGGAGGAACAUCAGUGGCGAAGGCGACUAUCUGGCACAUAACUGACGCUGAGGAGCGAAAGCGUGGGUAGCAAACAGGAUUAGAUACCCUUGUAGUC